GUAAAAGGCUUUGACAAGUUGAAUACACCAGUUCUAAUAGGAUCACAGAAGUUAAGCAAUGUCAAGCAUGGAUAGUACUUGGAUGGGUGAUCACUGGGUACUAGUACUCCAUGUGCUGCUGGCU
rnacentral:rRNA from 1 species